GCCCGUCCCCGUAGAGCCUGACAGAGGAGGAUGUGGAGUCUUUACUGGCUUCAAGCCCAAGUUCUGAUGAGAUUCCAAAUAGAAGAAGUCAGUCAGUGACCAAGAAGUGGAAUCCAAGGAAGAGAGUGUCCCGCAUGUGUCCGCCCCCCAGGACUCCCAGGAUAGACCUGCCAAAGAGCCAGAACCAGUAUGUAUUGUAUCCCUAUAUGGCAGUAUGUCCAUCUUUUAUUUAUUUAUUUAUUUAUUUAUUUUAAUAGUGUCCCGCGCCUCAGCCAAGGUAAAUAAAGCCAAUAAACAUACCUAGUGGAGCCAGGGCAAGCACCAGCAAGAAGCCAUAUUGCCACCGGCGCUUCCUCCGAUUUCUACAAAAGUGUCAUGAAGACAACUUCCAGUGUCUCCAGGUCUCAAACCUCCCAGGAGACUGAGGACCCCAACCCCCCCCACCACCAUCCCCGCCCCUGCUGAUAAAGGGCAAGAAGCAUCUCCCCUACCAGCUUCCUCUUUGUCCUGACUAAAUCGCCAGAGGAUUGAAGCAUCCUUUGGACAUUUGUGGUGACCAUGGGUGUUAUCCGCAACCGCCACUACGCUGGGGUUAGUUACUUGGUUCUUGGGGGUAUAAACCCAGGGUCGGAUGGUAUUAACCCUUAAUGUCACGUGACGCCACUGUAGUCUUGGUAGCUCCCGGGUUACUACAGGUCCGGGGAACUCCAUCUUCCCACAGGCUAGCAAGGAAAGAAUGGACUCCACACUAGAUUGCAGUUUAACGGAGGCUUUACUAGCUUGAAGACAGGUGGUACAAUCUUCACAGCGCUCAACCAAAGUCUCCCAAAGGAUUAACAGACAGUCACUAGAGGACCACACAGCUUGCAGGGCCUGGACUUUAUAUUGCAUAUGAGUUUGGCUUCUAUGGCCGGACUAGGAAUUUUAGGCCUGCGCUAUAUUAGGCUUGAGAUUAAAGUCUUUUGUAGUCUCGAGAUUAAAGUCACUUACUGAAGUGUCGGCAGAUUGUGGCUUUUCGCCGGAAUUCAAUGGAUUCUCCUUUAGAAGUCCUCGGAUUAAGGCUGAAGUAAAGACUUGGUAUUAUUUGGGAUUACUUCAUGCUCUUUCUUAUCCCUCCUCGGUGGAUACCCUCUGCGGGUUAUUCUACUCUGCGGAUUCUCCAUCUCUGUAUCUGCACCAACUCUGUAUCUACGUCAGAACACUAUCACACUCUCUCUCUCUGCGUCAGAACACUCACUACAGGAAAUGCCACCCCUUAUAAGGGAAGGCUAAACUACAGCCCAUUGGCCAGGCAGCUGUGGAUCAUAUAGUUGUCUGUAUCCCUUUUAGGAGUUACAAUAAAGUUACAUAUAAAUAACAGCAUAACAUAACAUUCCGCACAAAAGUCUAGUCUAGCUCUCAGUCCUCCACUCUCAUAUACCCUGACUAGACAUGAGGUUGCUAGGAAACAUACUUAAAGCUACAGAUACCCAAUAACGGAUUACUAAGUUAUAACAGUGCAAAAUAUACAUUAGAAAUGGUUGAGUCCCUGCAGGGGAGCCCCCAGGACACUGGAGGUCUCAAUCUGAC